GACAGAGGGUGCGACCGUUGUUCGGAAUUACUGGGCGUAAAGCGCAUGUAGGCGGCCGCGCAAGUCGGGCGUGAAAUCCCACGGCUCAACCGUGGAAGUGCACUCGAAACUGCGCAGCUAGAGUCCUGGAGAGGAAGGUGGAAUGCUUGGUGUAGAGGUGAAAUUCGUAGAUAUCAAGCGGAACACCGGUGGCGAAGGCGGCCUUCUGGACAGUGACUGACGCUGAGAUGCGAAAGCGUGGGGAGCAAACGGG
rnacentral:rRNA from 1 species